CAUCCCUGUGAAGAGUAAUCAUGUAAAUUAAAAGUAGUGGACUGAUUUUGAUUGAUGAUUAAUGCAUCUGAGGGAUG
rnacentral:snoRNA from 1 species